UACGUAGGGUGCAAGCGUUGUCCGGAAUUAUUGGGCGUAAAGAGCUCGUAGGCGGUCUGUCACGUCGGCUGUGAAAACCCGAGGCUCAACCCCGGGCCUGCAGUGGAUACGGGCUGGCUAGAGGCAGGCAGGGGAGAACGGAAUUCCUGGUGUAGCGGUGAAAUGCGCAGAUAUCAGGAGGAACACCGGUGGCGAAGGCGGUUCUCUGGGCCUGUACUGACGCUGAGGAGCGAAAGCGUGGGGAGCGAACAGG
rnacentral:rRNA from 1 species